rnacentral:lncRNA from 1 species
AUUGAGCCGUGGUGUGAUGAGGCCACCCAGGGAGUCAGCAGCAGAGACAGUCUGCUAUCAGACCCUCCUCUCCUGCCUUAUCAGCUCUGCCUUAUCUGUGUGCAUAAGUAAGAUUUGUGGAAAUAACUCCUGAGUGACUGUGAAGAGUGGGAAGGAGCCAGGGAAAUGGGAAGAGUAGUGUCUGCUCCCAAUACCAAAACUAGGCUGCCUGAAAACUCUCAGUACACUGAAAGAUGACAGCUUUGCUCCAGUGCCAUGUUUUCAAGCAGAGCAGAUUUUUUGCCAGUUCUUGUUAGACUUUAAGUAUUGGUUUUCCAGCCACCGCCAACUCUGUCUGGGCACAGGUCCAUGUUUACUCAAGCUCCACAGCCAGAAAUAUGGUGAGCUCUGGUUCAUGCUAGUGUGUGGUUGUGCUGAAUGCAUCAAAAUGCGUCAUCGAGAGUCACCAGCUACAUAAAGUAUGAGCUGUGGCAGGGAAAUCAGAGAAUAUAUAACACAACAUAGAGGAGAGUAACAGCUCUGGAAGCCAGAAACCCAUUUAAAACACUCUGAAUUUUAAAAACACUUUAAAGUAAAUGCUUUAUUUUCUUUUUUUAUUUUCUUUUUUUCUCUUUUUUUUAAUGCCAUGUUUUGAUUUCUGAGCUGGAUCAGAAGCACAGUUUAUUUUACAAGAGCCAAUGGUACCAAUUAAAGCCUGAGACUUUCAAAGCAGCACACAGGACUCGACUACACAUCUUCCAUUAAUUAUCUCUUGGCCAAGUUAACUCUGCACAAGUAAUAUGUCACAAGCUCAUUUUCUGUCAUUAAAUUCAGCAGAUAUGACCUUGAUCCUUUCUGGGAGCACACCUUCUCAGUAAUAAAAUGCUGUUUUAUUGCAGACACUUUUUGAAGAAUGCCAUUUUAAUGUCAGGUUAUGCUGAAGAAGAGACCAGCUCCUGCUUUUUCAGACUUUCUGAAGCAGGAAAGAACUAACAGCCUGCACUAGACCGCUUAUCAGUGCAGAGCCUGGACUAAAUGUGUCUUUGUUGACCUUCUCCUUCUCUUGGUACAGAAAAGAAAUUACCUUAGUUUCAAAAAAGCUGACAUGUGGGUACAGCUGCAGCUAUUUUGAGAGUAGGAAAAAGUUGACUUGGAAGACUUGCUCCUCUUGCUGUACAGGCACUGACCCAAGCAGAGCCAGAUGCAGACAGAGCUCAGCUGAAGCCAGGGCAGUGGUGUGUAAGUGUGGAGUUUUUUCCUCUCCUGGACUCACAGUAAGAUCAGAGGUGGAAUUGUGUGCCCGUGGUUGCAACCUAAUUUCAACUGCUUGGUUAGAUGCACUGAACUAUUGUGUAUAUAUGUGGCACAGGGGCUCUGAAGCACUCCUGUGAACUGCUGUCACAGUGUGGAGGAUCUCUACCCCCACCUUCAUCCACAGGCACAGAAAAACAAUCAGUCUCUUGGACUGACAAAGUUGCAGAGGCUAA